rfam:Choloepus hoffmanni cont1.168128, whole genome shotgun sequence.
GGAAAGGCAGCCUUAUUGUUUCCAAGGACAAUAUCCGGAGGAGUCACACAAACUUUGGCAUUUCUUUCUCUGAUGUCCACUUGCCAUGACAGUCUGAGGAAGUGAGAAGUCUUUGAGGCAGCAACCAGAAACUUUUAUGGUGGGAUGUCAUUCACUGAUGCUUCUAGGCUGGGUGACUUUCUCCAACAUCACUACAUUCUUCCAAUCCUACUGGGUAGCACUAAACAUUUAGGGAGAAUCUUCUAAACUAUAGCAAG